UUAAUUAUACCUAAGUAUGAGAACCAUCACCCCACUCUUUUGUCUAAGAUGGCUUCCACCCUAGUAGCAGUAAUCGGUGGCAAUAUCACACCAGUGUAGAGAAAUCCGUACUUUCUUUUUAUCAUAUUUAUGUCUCGAUUGAAGAUAUUGGGGCCAUUGAUUUGUUAUGGUCAUAGGUAUACAUGAAGAGGUGCUCUUUUGACUGGACUCUCAUAUUGAUUUGUUCGUGAUAAGGGACCAUAAUCAAAUGAUAACCGAAUUUCAUGAUGGUUAAUAAAAAUUUAGUAUACAAGAACCUGUUCGGCAAAAUUAAUUCCAUAGUAUUUGGAAACUACUAAAAAAAUAAAUUAUGCAGAUUUUAAAGUUUUUGGCAUAAACAUAAAAAAUAUAUGAACAGUGAUACCACACUGCACAACUCUGUUUCGAAGACUUUGAAGCUUUGCAACAUAGUUAACACGUACUACCAUGAUAAGAAAACCAAGCUACCAGCAGACCUUUCGGAAUGGCCAAUCGUGGAUGCUAAGGGGAUUCCUAACUGUGGUGGCAGUGAUAAUUCUACUGGAUGGGUCCUUUCAUGGGUGUAACUUGAGGAUGAGUUUAAGAUCAACAUAUUUGGUGUGCUAGAUGAUGUUAUUGUGAGGGCAAAAGCAGCAAUGUCUUUGGUAACUUCUCCAUUCAAUAGAUUGAGGAAGCACAUUCUGAUCUUAAUGAUGUUAUGGACUGGCAAGCACGCCAGGCACGCCAAGCACCACACCAAGAAUCCUAAGAUAAAUUUGGUAGUGUCGAACAAUGCUGAUGUCCACUUAAUUGCAACACUAUUUUCAUACUUUUGCAUCUCUUUUGCAAUACCAGAGAACUUGUUGAGUGGCGUUGUUAUUUAAGAAACCACUAUGUGUCAUUCUUUAACAUUAAUCAUUCUAUUUUCUUGUGCCCAUGGACUUUCAUUAAGUUGUUACUGCAAAGCUAUUAUACCCUUUAAUUCUCUAUAUUUUGUGAUGGAUA